rnacentral:rRNA from 1 species
GACGAACGCUGGCGGCGUGCUUAACACAUGCAAGUCGAACGGAAAGGCCCUGCUUUUGUGGGGUGCUCGAGUGGCGAACGGGUGAGUAACACGUGAGUAACCUGCCCUUGACUUUGGGAUAACUUCAGGAAACUGGGGCUAAUACCGGAUAGGAUCUCCUGCUGCAUGGUGGGGGUUGGAAAGUUUCGGCGGUUGGGGAUGGACUCGCGGCUUAUCAGCUUGUUGGUUGGGUAGUGGCUUACCAAGGCUUUGACGGGUAGCCGGCCUGAGAGGGUGACCGGCCACAUUGGGACUGAGGUACGGACCAGACUCCUACGGGAGGCAGCAGUGGGGAAUAUUACACAAUGGGCGGAAGCGUGAUGCAGCGACGUCGCGUGCGGAAUGACGGCCUUCGGGUUGUGAACCGCUUUCGCCUGUGACGAAGCGUGAGUGACGGUAAUGGGUAAAGAAGCACCGGCUAACUACGUG